UACGUAGGGGGCAAGCGUUGUCCGGAAUCAUUGGGCGUAAAGAGCGCGUAGGCGGCCCUGUAAGUCCGCUGUGAAAGUCAAGGGCUCAACCCUUGAAUGCCGGUGGAUACUGCAGGGCUAGAGUCCGGAAGAGGCGAGUGGAAUUCCUGGUGUAGCGGUGAAAUGCGCAGAUAUCAGGAGGAACACCGAUGGCGAAGGCAGCUCGCUGGGACGGUGACUGACGCUGAGGCGCGAAAGCGUGGGAGCAAACAGG
rnacentral:rRNA from 1 species